UGCCCCUCUGGCAAUGGGCAAAGAGACACCUUGCUGGUGGUGUUAUUCUUACACCUGGCAAGGGCAGAGCACACGACAGCCCUUUGCUCAUCCUAGCUUGAUGCCUGGCUUGGUGGCCAAAGCUGUCUUAUGCCUAGGAUUCAUAA